AUUAGGGCUCUCCUCCAUGUUAAGAAAUGAACACCAAGUCGCCAAUAUUCUUUCAAUAUCGCCCAAAAUGAACACCAAGCCUCCGCCCGUGACCGCCAAGAAAAAGAUGAAGAAGAAGUUGGCCACGUCGGUGGAGAAGCCAGUUCUUUCGUUCGUUUAGCAUUGAAAGCAACCAGAGGGUUUGUUCGUUGCCUUUCUUUUAUUUCUCUUCGUGCUCUCAUCUUUCAUCUUCUAUUUGUUCAUUCUAGAGUCACAAGAUGUUGAAGGGUAUGUCUCAAGGGUCGAUUUCGUGAAGAACAGGUCACUCUCUCUAAUCUCAUUCGGGAUGUGAAUUGUGCGGCAAAACGCUCUUGAUAUCUCUUGAGGGCCUUGUCGAGGAUGGGUUGUUGGAAAAACACGAGCUUCCUCAACCAAUGCUGCAGAUAGGCUCAUUUCAAGUGAAGGGAAACUCAAAACACAGCUUGAGAAUUUUUGAAGGGAUCCUGACAUAUCAUGUGAGACACUCAUUUAUUGAAAAUAUAUUAAACUGGGAAAAAUAAAUAAAAUCUAGAAGCUUGUUGUGA